GACGAACGCUGGCGGCGUGCUUAACACAUGCAAGUCGAACGGAAAGGCCCUGCUUUUGUGGGGUGCUCGAGUGGCGAACGGGUGAGUAACACGUGAGUAACCUGCCCUUGACUUUGGGAUAACUUCAGGAAACUGGGGCUAAUACCGGAUAGGAGCUCCUGCUGCAUGGUGGGGGUUGGAAAGUUUCGGCGGUUGGGGAUGGACUCGCGGCUUAUCAGCUUGUUGGUGGGGUAGUGGCUUACCAAGGCUUUGACGGGUAGCCGGCCUGAGAGGGUGACCGGCCAGAUGGGGACGGGGAGACGGACACGUGUGGUGCGGGGGGCAGCAGUGGGGAAUAUGACGCAGUGGGAGGACGUCGGAGGCAGCCACGCCGUGUGGGUGAGAGCGGCGUUAGGGUUGUAACCCGCUGUCGCCUGGCGCGGAGCGGAGGUGGCGGUGGUGGGCAGAGACGCCCCGGAGAACUAGGCACCAGCAGAGGGGGUAUAAUCGAAGCGCAGACGUCUUCAC
rnacentral:rRNA from 1 species